GAUCUAAAAAAUUUAUGUCCCACAUUCCAAAUAUAAAAAAAAAACUUACACUUUUCUAUACGAUAGAAAGAACAAAAAAAAAAAUCCCCCAAAUCAAAACCUAGGUCGUCAGCCUCAUCAGAACACAAAUCAAUCUUUCCUCUUGAUUCAUCUUCAUCACCAUGUGGAUAAGAAGUGUCUCUUCUCAUCUCAAAAUCCUGGUCGCUGAUGUCGUCGCUGAUUCUCCUCCUCGUCUAUCAAUAGCCGGCUCCACUAGUCCCUGUUGGGUUUUAUUUCGUGGCCAAUCCAACAGCCAUUUCUGCUUCUUCUUCUCUUUCUUCUUCUAUGUUCUCUCGAAAUCCCGGCUCACAUGGUUCAUUGUUACUAUAGUUUAAACGCUUUCAGAUCUCGAAUUGGGACUCUAUAGAUAGCGGAUUUAGAUUUUCUUUACGCUGCUUUCUUCAUAGAUUUGGAGGAUAUACAUAAAUCUGGUCUCAUAUAUUGGUUUAAUACUCGAGUAUGUAUACUCAUUUGCUGCAAUUUUGUAAUUUCUCUCCUCCAUUGGAGAGUGAAUGAUUUUUUUAUUAUGGUUAGUAUUUUGCAGUAGAGACUCAUGUGAAGAAGAAGGUGUCAUGAGAAGGGGGAGCUUGUAGCUCAAAAGGAUGAGCUUGAAAUUGAAGCUCAAAAGGAGGAUCUUGAAGCUUGAGCUUGAGAUGACAUCUAAUGGUUUGCAAGUAAGCUCAAGGCAUUUGACUAUAGUCUAUAAAAUGGUUCUGAGAUCGAUCUUCACCAAGGAUGAGCCCAUCUGAGUUUAUUCUUCCGUUUGAUCAGUAUAUGGAGUCUGUGAAGAAUAACUACUCCAUCGGCAUGAGAUUUAAAAUGAGAUUAGAAGGCGAAAAGGCUUCUGCAGAAUUGUGAAAUGGCCUGAAGCUGGUGACAAGCCCAUACAUAUAAGGUUGUGUGGUAAUGUUUAAUAAUCUGCAAAUUCUCUUAGAUUUUUAGCCUUGAGUUAAGGACUUAACUUAAUAUGAAAGAGCUUUGCUUUUCCUUGAACACAAGUACAAUCGUUAGUUAAGGCGAUGAAGGAAGAGGAUGGUGUGGCUAGCGCCGUGAAGAUCCGGUUGUUGGUGUUACGAGUUCAAUGGAAGAUCUAGUUGGUGGCACUUAGGAUGUUAGUUUUAUUUUGUUUCAAUACUUGGCUGCACUUAAGAUAUUAGUAUAAAACUUGCACUACAGGAAAUUUGAUUAUUGAUAGCACAAAAGGAUAGCGUUUUUGAUGUUUAUGCUUUCUUUGAGUUAACCGUGUAUUACAGAUAGCGUUUAGUUAUUUUUAAACGCUACCAA